rnacentral:rRNA from 1 species
GAUGAACGCUGGCGGCGUGCUUAACACAUGCAAGUCGAACGGAAAGGCCCAAGCUUGCUUGGGUACUCGAGUGGCGAACGGGUGAGUAACACGUGGGUGAUCUGCCCUGCACUUCGGGAUAAGCCUUGGAAACUGGGUCUAAUACCGGAUAGGACCACAUUUUGGAUGGUGUGGUGGAGAGAUUUUCGGUGUGGGAUGAGCUCGCGGCCUAUCAGCUUGUUGGUGGGGUAAUGGCUUACCAAGGCGCCGACGGGUAGCCGGCCUGAGAGGGUGUACGGCCACAUUGGGACUGAGGUACGGCCCAGACUCCUACGGGAGGCAGCAGUGGGGAAUAUUGCACAAUGGGCGCAAGCCUGAUGCAGCGACGCCGCGUGGGGGAUGACGGCCUUCGGGUUGUAAACUCCUUUCGCUAGGGACGAAGCGCAAGUGACGGUACCUGGAGAAGAAGCACCGGCUAACUACGUG